GUAGUGGAUGGCUGCAUACACAGAGCUGCUGGGCCCUGCUUAGUUGCUGAAUGUCGCAACCUGAGUGGCUGUGAGACUGGACAAGCAAAAAUCACGUGUGGAUAUGAACUACCUGCAAAAUAUGUGAUCAUUACUGUUGGCCAAUUGCAAGAGGCCAUCUCACUGAUGAUCAUAAAGAGAACUUGGCAAGUUGCUAUAAAUCCUCUCUGAAACUGGCCAAAGAAAACAACAUUAGAUCAAUUGCAUUUCCUUGUAUUUCAACAGGAAUUUAUGGUUUUCCAAAUGAGCCUGCUGCUGUCAUUGCCCUUAACACUACUAAGGAAUGGUUAAGGAAGAAUCACGAUGAGG